GAAAUACACGCAAUUGAUCAUUAGCAGUAUUGCCAAACAAUAUACACUAAAAGCCUAUGUGGUAGGUUGCCUAGUUGCCUAUUAAAGACUUACAUAUUCUUACUAUUCUAAUGUAUAUCACCUAUGUUUCUGGAGAUGAGAGGAAUUGUUGUGUGUGCAAAACCUACGAUGGCAAAUGAUUCAAUUAAGGGUUUUCAUGUGAUAUUGUUCUUAGCAAAGCUGCUUCUUAAGAUUGAUUAAAUUAAUACAUAAAGUAGUAAAUCUAAGAGCAACUGAAAAGAUUUCAUAUAGUAAUUAAAAAGAAGGUAGCCGUAGGCAAGAUUGUGCAAAGAUUAGUAACGAUUUCCCUUAGGAAAUGCUGGAAUUCAAAAAGAAGAGAUAA